AUGUUUUUUGUGACGCUCACUUCCUGCUACUUACGAUUUGCAACGUGGAAGUCACGCAUCGUCGAAGCAAGGCUCCUAAUUAUGAGGGUGUGCGGAGAUGCUAGCAGGUGGAGGAAAUUCCUUUGAUUAGCGCCCUUGGAGAGCGGAUUGAGUUUUCACGGUGUUCAAGAUGUUCACGACGUCAUGGUGCUCGUCGAGAGAAACGAAAUAAAUCAACACCCGUUUGAAACUCUCUGCGUCUUGAUCAAUCAAUCCGAGGGGCCGCUACACCAACCGCCGUCUAAAGUGCUCAGCAACCCCCCCAAGAUAUCACAGGUUUUGGGCCAACUGAUAUUUUCCAGCGCGGCUGCGAGUUUGAAGGCAGAAAAAUGAUUUAACUCACUAAAACAACAGCAGGACGCACGGCGGACUUCAAGUCCCAGAGAACCCGAGAGGACGCGUGUCUCUCUGCGUCUGCCAGAGAAGAUCCAUCAGAGCCCGAAGCUGUGAUUCCAAUUCAACCAGCGUCUCCGCGGACAACUCUGCUUUCGUCACGCUAACAAUGUCAUAAUCUUACUGCGUUUCAGCAUAAAAGAAGCUCGCGACACCUUUUUUCCUGACACAUGCAAUGGGGGGCUCUUCUGGAUCUAACCUGC
ensembl:lncRNA